GACGAACGCUGGCGGCGUGCUUAACACAUGCGAGUCGAACGGAAAGGCCCUGCGUUUGUGGGGUUCUCGAUUGGCGAACGGGUGAGUAACACGUGAGUAACCUGCCCUUGACUUUGGGAUAACUUCAGGGAACUGGGGCUAAUACCGGAUAGGAUCUCCUGCUGCAUGGGGGGGGUUGGAAAGUUUCGGCGGUUGGGGAUGGACUCGCGGGUUAUGAGCUUGUUGGUGGGGUAGUUGCUUACCAAGGCUUUGACGGGUAGGCGGCAUGAGAGGGUGACCGGCGACAUUGGUACUGAGAGACGGAGCAGAAUGCUACGGGAGGCAGCAGUCGGGAAUAUUGCACAAUGGGCCGAAGCGUGAUGCAGCAACGCCGGGAGCGGGAUGCCGGCUUUCGGGUGGUAAACCGCUUUCGCAUGUGACGAAGCGUGAGUGACGGUAAUGGGUAAAGAAGCACCGGCUAACUACGUG
rnacentral:rRNA from 1 species